GACUGAGCACAGAUGGAUGUUUCUAAAACGUGUUUGUCUUCUUGUGGCCUGCAGACGUCUGUGAAGAACAUCUUCUCCCUGAGCAACAGAAGUGGAGCUUCAGGAUGGAGCCACAGCCCUCCCACAUUAAAAAGGAAAAGAAACACCCACUGAUCCCCCAUUUUAAAGCGGAAGAGGAUGACCCACUGACCACUCACAUCAAAGAGGAAGAGGAGGACUCAUUGACCCCCAAUUUUAAAAAGGAAGAGGAGAAGCCACUAAUAACCCAUUUUAAAGAGGAAGAGGGGGACCCACUGACACCCCAUUUUAAAAAGGAAGCGGUGGAUCCACUGAGCCCUCACAUUAAAGAGGAAGAGCCACUGAUCCCGCACAUUAAAGAGGAAGAGGAGGAAAAGGGCAUCAGUCAGCCUAAAUGGUUGGAGGAGUUCCCAGUGACUGGUGUCCCUGUGAAGAGUGAAGAUGAUGAGGUGAAAGGUGAAAGUGAGGAGAGGGGAGGGGGGGAGCCUCCAAGCAGCAGCUCAACACAACACAUGACAACAGAAGCUGAUGGAGACCACUGUGGAGGAUCACAAGCAGACAAGCUCUUAGCUCCACUAUCAGAUAGUGAGGACACAACGUCACACUCUCCUGACACUGAUGAUGAAGACUCUAAAGAUGAUAAGACAUGUCACACUGACAACACUCACUUCACAUCUUCUCACUCUCACAAAACAUUUAAAUUCCAUUGUCAUCUGAAAAGACACAUGAGAAUACACACUGGAGAAAAACCUUUUUCAUGUUCAAACUGCGGUAAACAUUUUACUCAGAGGCCAGAUUUAAAAGUACACAUGAGAACACACACUGGAGAAAAACCUUUUUCAUGUUCUAUCUGUGGUAAAGAUUUUACUCAGAGGCCACAUUUGAAAGUACACAUGAGAACACACACUGGAGAAAAACCUUUUUCAUGUUCAAUCUGCGGUAAAGAUUUUACUCGAAGGGAAAAUUUCAAAAAACACAUGAGAAUACACACUGGAGAAAAACCUUUUUCCUGUUCAAUCUGCAGUAAAUAUUUUGCGCAACGGCACUAUUUGAAAGAACACGUGAGAACACACAGUGGAGAAAAACCUUUUACAUGUUCAGUAUGUUGUAAAAGUUUUUUACAAAGUCAGCAUUUGAAAAGACACACGAGAAGACACCCAGGAGAGAAAGUGUUGAGUUGCAGUGUGUGUGGUGAAAGAUUGUCUUCUAAGUAGCAGUGUAAGAAACACAAGUGUGCUGGUGACAACAGCAGCAGCAAAUGAAACUGCAGGAUUUCAAAUAAACUGUCAAGACUUUAACUUUGACCUUCUAAAAACAUCAGCACAUAGUUUCUAAGAUUUAUAGAUGAGGUAUUUUAGAUUAUUGCCUUUUUUCAGUCAAGUACUACACAUGACAAGUGUUUUUUAAAGUUGUUCAUGAUUUAUCCCCCUUUUUUAGAAUUCCUCAAACAUUAUCAAUUUCAGAAAACAUGGGAACAUUUGGAAUGUUUGGGAAAAGUUAAUUAUGUACAUCAUCCCACAGAGCUUUACUGUACAUCCAUCCAUUUGUUCUACCACUUGUCUCUUUCAUUUUAUAUGUAUAGCAUUUAAUCACAUACUUGUCCGCCAAAGGGUGUUGCGUUUUGGAGGAACUCCUUCUGUCAGAGUGCUGUUCACACUUCUUUUACUGCGGAAAUCUACUCACAAAAACAAUCCAAACAGUAGGAAACAAAAAACGAUGGUGCGAAAAAGAGAAGACUAAAUGUGCAUUUUGGAAAAAAUAACAAAAGCUACUUCUAUACACAAAUAAAGUCAACUUGGUUUGGAGUUACAAGACGUGCACACUACACAACAACACCAAGAUGGAUGGCACUGGGAAUGGCCAAGGUAGCAAAAUACUCAAAGCAUGUAAUCAACUGGCGUGGAGUGGAAUCGCCGAGUGCCAUCCAGCUGUCAAGGUGCUGCUUAAGUAGCACCAGGGUCAAUUGGAAGCAGCUGUGCACGUCCCACAACUCCGCCCACAAAGGCAACACAGGAACUCUAGGAGGAAGGAGAAAUGUAAGAACAAGGUCAACUGCACCAAAAGACGAAAACUGACUGUUGGAGCCAAAUUUCCUUAUUUGCUUAUAUUGUUUUUAUUUUGUUUUCUCUGAUUGAUAGCUGGCUUCAGUUCAUGCUGAAUGUCCCUUUCUGCAGAUUGCUCCGCCCACUUCCUGUUGAGAACCAGGAAGUGUUGACAGGGAUGGGACAGUUGCUAUGGUGCGGUUGCCAUGGUAGCCUCCUUUAAUUGUGUUCAGCUGGGAACACUGGGGGGUGAUUGCAUGGAGGACAAACAGUUUUGGAGCGUGUGGUGUGGUGUGUGGUCAGGUCUCACUGCUGUGACAAUGUGCCAUUCAAGCCAAGUACUGGACAUUCAAUCAUCAAACUGGUCAACACAGUAUCAGUAUCAGUAUCAGUAUCAGCCCAAAGACUUGGACACAAACAGGAGAGAAAGUAAAAAGCAGCUUUAAGGAGGUCAAAACAAAAUGUAUGCAUUCUUUCCAACGGCCGCUGGGUGGCAGCAGAGGCUCCAUGUAUUACCUGAAGAAACAUUUGACUUCUGACCUUUCCACAUUAUUUCUCUCAUCUUUACUGCUGGAGUUCAGCUCACUGAGGAUGUAAGCUACAUUUUGGUAUCUUAAUUAUCUUUAAUUAUUCAUAAACAGGCUUAAAACAAACCAUUAUUAUCAUUACUGCCUCAUUUGUUUCACUCUCUACUAAUUAAAACUAUUCUAGCAUGAAAACAUUCAGGAUGUUCAUACACACAAUAUUACACAUCCCCAAACGUACCAAUUUAUUAUGGUAUUCAUAUCAUACAUUAUUACUUUGAAUAUUCACAUGUUUAUAACAGUGCUGACAAUUUAAAUUCCCUGUGGGGAUUAAUAAAGUAUUUCUGAUUCUGAUCAUUACAUCACUCUCAUAAAGCCUUUAAUGCUGAAUAUGUUUUUUACCAUAGGUCAGCUUCACAAUGUUGGAAUA